UACGUAGGGCGCAAGCGUUAUCCGGAAUUAUUGGGCGUAAAGAGCUCGUAGGCGGUUUGUCGCGUCUGCUGUGAAAACCCGAGGCUCAACCUCGGGCCUGCAGUGGGUACGGGCAGACUAGAGUGCGGUAGGGGAGAUUGGAAUUCCUGGUGUAGCGGUGGAAUGCGCAGAUAUCAGGAGGAACACCGAUGGCGAAGGCAGAUCUCUGGGCCGUAACUGACGCUGAGGAGCGAAAAGCAUGGGGAGCGAACAGG
rnacentral:rRNA from 1 species